UUAAAUUGAAGAGUUUGAUCAUGGCUCAGAUUGAACGCUGGCGGCAGGCCUAACACAUGCAAGUCGAACGGUAACAGGAAGCAGCUUGCUGCUUUGCUGACGAGUGGCGGACGGGUGAGUAAUGUCUGGGAAACUGCCUGAUGGAGGGGGAUAACUACUGGAAACGGUGGCUAAUACCGCAUAAUGUCGCAAGACCAAAGA
rnacentral:rRNA from 1 species